rnacentral:lncRNA from 1 species
AUUUUUUUUCGAAUUAUACUAUUUCGAAUUUCAAACCCUAAACCCAAAAACUCAACUCUAAACCCUAAACCAUCAAUCCUAAACCCUAAUUUUUUUUUUGAAAUACGAACCCUAAACCCUAAACCCUAAACUAUCAAUCCUAAACCUUUUUUUUUUGAAAUACGAACCCUAAUCCCUAAACAUCAACUCUAAACCCUAAACCCCGAAACAUCAAUUCUAAACCCUAAACCCUAAACCUUCAACUAUAAACCCUAAAACAUCAACUCUAAACCCUAAACCCUAAAAUUCAACUCUAAACCUAAACCCUAAAAUUCAACUCUAAACCCUAAACCAUCAACACUAAAC